GUCUCCUCUGAUGAUCAGAAUUGAAAACUUUCGUUCUUCCGAGGGUAAAUACGCUGCGGAAAAUUCAUGGAGACCUGAACUGAGGAGAC